rnacentral:rRNA from 1 species
UACGGAGGGUGCAAGCAUUAAUCGGAUUUAUUGGGCGUAAAGGGCGCGUAGGCGGACCUGCAAGUCAGAUGUGAAAUUCCGGGGCUCAACCCCGGAGCUGCAUUUGAAACUGCAGGUCUAUAGAGGGAUGACGGAGAAAAUGGAAUUCCACGUGUAGCGGUGAAAUGCGUAGAUAUGUGGAAGAACACCAGUGGCGAAAGCGGUUUUCUAGUUAUCACCUGACGCUGAGGCGCGAGAGCAAGGGGAGCAAACAGG